rnacentral:rRNA from 1 species
UACGUAGGUGGCAAGCGUUGUCCGGAAUUAUUGGGCGUAAAGCGCGCGCAGGCGGUCCUUUAAGUCUGAUGUGAAAGCCCACGGCUCAACCGUGGAGGGUCAUUGGAAACUGGGGGACUUGAGUACAGAAGAGAAGAGUGGAAUUCCACGUGUAGCGGUGAAAUGCGUAGAGAUGUGGAGGAACACCAGUGGCGAAGGCGACUCUUUGGUCUGUAACUGACGCUGAGGCGCGAAAGCGUGGGGAGCAAACAGGAUUAGA